CUUGUUUUUUCGUCUCUCGUUCUUUCUUGCUUUCUUCCUUUGAUUUUUUUGACUUAUUUCAGACGGGAGAGGGCUGAAGAGAGAGAGAGAAAAGGGGGAGAGGGACUUUCUGUGGUUUCUUUCUGAACGUAUGCAUAUGAAUACAAAGAAAGAAAAAAGG
rnacentral:ribozyme from 11 species